UACGAACUGUGCAAACGUUAUUCGGAAUCACUGGGCUUACAGGGUGCGUAGGCGGUCUGUUAAGUAGGGUGUGAAAGCCCCCGGCUCAACCGGGGAAUUGCGCCCUAAACUGGCGGACUGGAGUGAGAUAGGGGUGUGCGGAACUUCCGGUGGAGCGGUGAAAUGUGUUGAUAUCGGAAGGAACGCCGGUGGCGAAAGCGGCACACUGGAUCUCAACUGACGCUGAGGCACGAAAGCCAGGGGAGCGAACGGG
rnacentral:rRNA from 2 species